GCUGGGCGUGGUGGCGCACGCCUGUAAUCCCAGCUACUCUGGAGGUUGAGGCAGGAGAAUUGCUUGAGCCCAGGAGACGGAGGUUGCAGUGAGCCAAGAUCAUGCCACUGUACUCCAGCUUGGCCGACAGAGUGAGACUCUGUCUCAA
rnacentral:SRP_RNA from 1 species